rnacentral:hammerhead_ribozyme from 1 species
AUCCAGCUGACGAAUCCCGAAUAGGACGAAACGCUCGUCCUGGAU